rnacentral:tRNA from 1 species
AGGGGCGUAGCUCAGAUGGUAGAGUGCUCGCUUCGCGUGCGAGUGGUACGGGGAUCGAUGCCUCUCGCCUCCA